rnacentral:tRNA from 1 species
GUUAAACAGGCUCAGUCGAUAGAGCAUGAGACUCUUAAUCUCAUGGUUGUGGGUUUGUGCCUCACGUUGGGCA